UAGUGGUUGGUGAUCAGUGCGGAUGGGCAUU
rnacentral:piRNA from 1 species